GUCGGAUUGAUCCGAUUUGCGUGCGAUUUGGACCCGAUAAGGAGCUGAGGAGGAGAAGUCUGGGAAGGAGAUCUUGGAGGUGAAACUUGAAGGGAAGGAUUUUGAAAGAAGAAGAUAAUACCGAGAUGGGCCUCGAGUAUGGCCUGGAUGGACUGAGAGUCUAUCUUCUUUUGAGAAUUCCUUUUGAAGUGAAUAGUUAUGAAGGGGUUUGUGUUUUGUAUAAAAGUUUGGUUAUAAGUUUCAAUAUGAAAAAUAUGGCCCUGCUUUUCUAUCC